rnacentral:rRNA from 1 species
UACGAAGGGGGCUAGCGUUGCUCGGAAUCACUGGGCGUAAAGGGUGCGUAGGCGGGUCUUUAAGUCAGGGGUGAAAUCCUGGAGCUCAACUCCAGAACUGCCUUCGAUACUGGACGAUCUUGAGUCCGGAAGAGGUGAGUGGAACUCCUAGUGUAGAGGUGGAAUUCGUAGAUAUUAGGAAGAACACCAGUGGCGGAAGGCGGCUUCUGAUCCGGUGACCGUACGUCG